AUUAAAAUUACAAGAAAAAAUCACAGAAAUUUCUGACACAGAGACAUUUUGACCCUACAAGAAAAUUAGAAUAAUUUAUGACGGAGUGCUUAGUUUUUUCCCCCCCUCGUCUCUGUAAUCUUGUAUCUGAGAUGACUGUGUAGAGUGCAACCGCACAAGUGAAUCCAGUUGCCAGUAGUGCCAGCUCCCAGCUCCCAUGGAUCUGAUCGUGCUUUGUGUUCUCUGUUCUUCCUUCAACGGACAAACAAACACGAAGGUUACAGCUCGAUUCCUUCCGGAGACGGGAAAAGCUCAGUUACCUUGUGCACAUUCGAGGGAACAGAGCAGAUGACACGCAGCUUUCAGAUAAGCUCGUUUGGCUGUUUCUCCAGUUCGGAAUCACCAACAGAUAUGUUCCUUCCUUCACGCUUCCCUCCGCUUCUCGUUUUACGCAUGGAAUCGUCCACACCACUCUUCUGCCUCACGCCACUCACUGACGACGACGACGAUCGCGCGCGGUGGCCUGCUUUCUUUGACGAGUUGAAAAGCUGGACUCCGGAUCCGGAUUCCUUCAGCGUUCCACAUCUGCCGCGAGAUCGAUUUUCUGGCGGCAGCGUGUUGGAACUUUCCGUUUCCGACGUAGUAGUAGUAGAAGGAAGGGGAAAAAAAGGCAGAGAGAGGGGAAUCGUU
rnacentral:misc_RNA from 1 species